rnacentral:misc_RNA from 1 species
UGGAAGAUGAAUGGGAAAUAUCAAAAAGGAAAAGGAAUAAAGUUAAUCCAUCAAAUGGUAUUAUGAUCUUAAAGGAACAAGCAUGUGAAAUUUGGAGAAGAAAAAAGAAAAUAGUACUUCAACAUUUUUAUUUUUUCAUUCUGGUUAUUUUCUACUGCAAUACAUGGUCAUUUCUAGAUACACAAGCAACAUUUUUACAGUCAAAAUAGCAAGGAAACUACUCAUAUAUGGGCAUGUGUUCAUCUCCCAAUUCAAGAUUUUGGUAUUUCCUUUCAAUGUUAUAGUUGCAGCUUUCCUUGUUCAUUCUGGAGGACAAGAAUGAUAUCAAGAAAAGGGAAAUGCUAUGAUAAUAAGAAGAAUAAGAGCUGGGGGAUUGUUAAGGAGAAUAUAUUGUAUAUGUAGGAUGUGUAGGAGAAUAUACUGUACAAAUGGAAAGCAAUGUAACUGAUUGUAUAGAAGGCUAUAUUGUAUAAAUAGGGAACAUUGUAACUGAUUGAGAAGUGAAGAAUUCAAUAAUACAAGACAACAAUUCCUUCUCUCUCUAUAAUUCUCUUUUUCUCUCUACUUCUCAUCCCUAUUUCUUCUAUUCUCUCAUCUCCUUUCUUAUUAUUAUUUGAAGCAGAACCGUAGCUCAGGGAUUUUGUGGCAGCAAUGUAUUCAUUAAAGGAUGUGGAUAUAUGCAUAUUAUAGUCUAUACAAACGUACCUAAGCUAUUUUAUUAUGUGUGGAGGUGAAUGGAAAGAGAAUGGAAGAUGAAUAGAAAGGGAAUGGAAAUGAGGUGAAUGACUGAAUGGUUUUGAUUUUGCUAUCUUAUCUAUCUUAUUCCUCUUUCUUUUCCAUCUAUUUAUCUAUCUAUCUAUUUUAAUUUAGCUAACAAAUAGUGUCAAACCAUAAUUGCUAACAAGUGGUAUCAGAGCACAACUGCUAACAAUUAUAUCUAUCUGCAUACUUUUUGUUGUUCUGAACUUUUCUUCAUAUUUACUCCAAUUUGUCUCUUAUGAUUAUUCAUGUUUUGAAUUUUUAUUUUUUUACUGUUCCUUAAUCCUGAUAAUAUUUCCAUUAUUCAGGUAGUUGAAUAAUCCAAUUUAGACAAAACUACUCUUUCUAACUCUCUUCACUUUAUCUCUUGUACAUGAGGUUGCAUGCACAUGUACAUGCACAGAACCUUGGGAAAAGUUGGGACUGUAUGUCCAGGAGUGCCUCCAUUAGCUUUUCUGAAUUGAGAUUUUAGACUUCUUCAUUGGCUUAAAUACAGUCACCUUAACUAUGAAUUGCAAUGAAGUUCAGUUAUUUAUAAUGUAGUUAAAGUUAAAACAGCAAUCUGCUUUGUGAAAUUUUUUUCAUUUCAAAUAUGAUUAGUCCAGAAACUGGAAUUUAACUUGCAAAAGUUUAAGAAACUUGAAAAUCUUGCACAUAUGUCUCUGUAAUUUGUUUAGUGGGUUAGAAAGAGGGGUGGAGUACUUGCACGUGACCAUGCAAUUAUUUACACCCAAAGAAAAAGCAAUAUUACCAUGAACAGUGAUUGGCAUGUGUCGAACACACAGACAAGCCUGCAAUAUGCCUUCGUUUAAUUUUAUUUGCAUGUUUUGAAUCAAUUGUGAUUAUUGCCACAUAGUGAUGUUCCUAUUCCUGUUCUGUGUUCUCAAGUAUUAGCAAUUUGCUGAGCAAGACUGCAAUACAAGAGCCUACAUUUGAAAGGAUAAUAGUAGUUUACAGGAAAGCAAGCAACAAAACAAAAAAGGAACGGGGAAUCUACGUGAAGCAUUUCCAGAAAAUUCCAAUGGCUGAUAUGGAAAUAGUUCUUCCUGAAAAGAAGAAUCCUGGGUUAACUCCAGUGGACUGGGUUCGGUUCCUGGGUUCUGCUAUAGUUGGACUGCUAUCAGCAGAACUUGGCUACAUAUCAGAAAUUAAUUACCCAGUUCAUGUACGACAAACAACUAGAUAGUGGAAGGGGUACGCUUCUUCACCUGUGUGACAAUGUCAUUCAACAGGAAGUCAAAGAAGUUAUCAUUUCAUUCUUUAUAUUGAUGAUACAGGGCAAAGCCACAAAGAAGGAGUUGGAUGAGCGUUGCAAAAAAACUAAUAAAAAAAAAGUUUGGCAAGAGCUGUAAUUUUGAUGUAGACGAUGCAGUCCAAAAAUUAGAGAAGUUGCGAAUUAUUGUCCGGGAUGCUAAUGGACAGUAUAGUUGUGUUGAUAUAAGAAGUGCUAAUGAAGUUAUUGGCACCACCACUGAAGAGAUUGUCCUCAAUGUGGAACAACAGGGCAAUGACAUGCCUUGUUGUUGCUUGGAAAAUUUGUGAUUCCUUGCAAAAUCUGAUGCUUUUAAACCUUGAACUGCAGUUGACAGUUCCUGGAGUGCCACUGCUUUCUCCAUUGUUCUAUACUUCUGUUCUCUGUUAAUAUAUGUAAAUCUUGAACGUGUAACUUGAUGAAUCCGAUAAUGGAUGGUGGUAUGGAUUAGCAAACAGUAAAUUGGCAGACAUAAUCAAUUAUUUAUAUCUAUAUCUAUAUAAAUAUAAUAAAGCUGAUCUUUAAAGUAAGU